AAGGAGAGCAUAUUUUAGUUUAUCUCUUCCUAUUGCCAAGUUCGAAUGACUCCUGCCUUUAGACCCAAUACUGUCAGGCAGAUCUCUCUAUGAGUUCAAGGCCUUGUCUGGGUAGUCAGUACAGGCCAUCUGGAGCUACAGAUUGAGAUCUUGUCUUAAAAAAUGAAGUAAAACUCCCUAAGUGUUAAAAGGAAGGAGGAGGACUCCUGAUCAUUGUCCUAAAACAAUAUGCAGUUUGUUGGAAGGUGCUUUAGGCCUUAAUAUCACCUUUGUUUGCCAUGUGGGGGUGCCACACACACCUUUACUCCCAGAACUCGAGGCAGAGGUUCAAGGCCAGCCAGGUCUACAGACUUACACCACACCGUGUAUUACAGCAGGUUAACACUGCCAAGAUUGAAGUCAUGGCUGGUCCAGAAAGUGAUGGCCAAUUCCAGUUCACUGGUAUUAAAAAAUAUUUCAACUCUUAUACCCUCACAGGUAGAAUGAAUUGUGUCCUGGCCACAUAUGGAGGCAUUGCUUUGUUGGUCCUAUACUUUAAGUUAAGGCCUAAAAAAACCCCAGCUGUGAAAGCAACAUAAAUGGAUUUUGAAAUGUCUGGCCUUAUCUGUUAAGUCCCACGCCUGAAGAAGCUGAUGUGAACUCAUCAUGUAAUACUCAAUUUGU
rnacentral:lncRNA from 1 species